GGCUCUUGGCGGUGGAUCACUCGGCUCGUGAGUCGAUGAAGGACGCAGCUAGCUGCGUGAUUUAGUGGGAAUUGCAGGACACAUUGAGCAUCGACGAUCUGAACGCGAAUUG
rfam:Ciona savignyi cont_47841, whole genome shotgun sequence.